AGCAGCCGCGGUAAUUCCAGCUCCAAUAGCGUAUAUUAAAGUUGUUGCAGUUAAAAAGCUCGUAGUUGAAUUUCGGGGUUAGUAGGUUGGUCAUGCCUCUGGUAUGUACUGGUCUCACUGAUUCCUCCUUCCUGAUGAACCGUAAUGCCAUUAAUUUGGCGUUGCGGGGAAUUUGGACUGUUACUUUGAAAAAUUAGAGUGUUUAAAGCAAGCUAACGCUUGAAUACAUUAGCAUGGAAUAAUGAAAUAGGACGUUCGAUCCUAUUUUGUUGGUUUCUAGGAUUGACGUAAUGAUUAAUAGGGAUAGUUGGGGGCAUUAGUAUUCAAUUGUCAGAGGUGAAAUUCUUGGAUUUAUUGAAGACUAACUACUGCGAAAGCAUUUGCCAAGGAUGUUUUCAUUAAUCAAGAACGAAAGUUAGGGGAUCGAAGACGAUCAGAUACCGUCGUAGUCUUAACCAUAAACUAUGCCGACUAGGGAUCGGAUGAUGUUAAUUUUUAAUGUACUCAUUCGGCGCCUUAC
rnacentral:rRNA from 1 species